rnacentral:rRNA from 1 species
UGGGGAAUAUUGCACAAUGGGCGAAAGCCUGAUGCAGCAACGCCGCGUGAGUGAUGAAGGCCUUCGGGUUGUAAAGCUCUGUCUUCUGGGACGAUAAUGACGGUACCAGAGGAGGAAGCCACGGCUAACUACGUGCCAGCAGCCGCGGUAAUACGUAGGUGGCAAGCGUUGUCCGGAUUUACUGGGCGUAAAGGAUGCGUAGGCGGAUACUUAAGUCAGAUGUGAAAAUCCCGGGCUUAACUUGGGAACUGCAUUUGAAACUGGGUAUCUAGAGUGCGGGAGAGGAAAGUGGAAUUCCUAGUGUAGCGGGGAAAUGCGUAGAGAUGAGGAAGAACACCAGUGGCGAAGGCGACUUUCUGGACCGUAACUGACGCUGAGGCAUGAAAGCGUGGGGAGCAAACA